UUUCUCUCUCUCUCUCUCUCCUUUCCCUCUGUCUCCUUCUCUCUCUUCCUCUCUCUGGAAAUGUGGGAAAGAUGCCAUGUAGGCACACCCAGGUUCCAAGAUGCUGGUCCCAAGAUGUACAUGGUUCAGCAGCCUCACUGCCCCACUGCCAGCCAACAGCCCAUCAGCCAUCACAAGUAAAACCACAUGCUGUUUACCACAGAACCAUCAUAAUCAGAAAAUCUAUUCCAUAGCAGAAGAACCAUCCAGAAAAAUAGAUGAAACCAACAGACACCAUGUUAAGCAAAAUAAGACACAGAAAGAAAUGUAUCAUAUGCUUUCUCUCGUGAAAAUUCACGAAAGAUUACAUGAAAUCAGGAAAGGAACGAUAAGGGACUCGCAAGAACCCUGAGAACAGGAAAGAGGAGAAACGAAUGAUUCACUCUGCAUCAAAACCAGUCCUACUGUGUGCUCCAGAAGGCUGACUUGUGAAAAGAUACAGCAGAUCCAAGAGGAGGGUUCAGCAAACAGGAUCACAAGUGAAGGAUUAGAGAGCCAGAGGGCAGGAGAAUGAGAGGUGAGGGCCUUUCUGUCCAAGGCCACUCCCUGAUUCGUUGCUGAUUGGCACUGCCUGUGCUCUCAAAGGCCAAGACUCCCACCUAAUGAUCUCUGCUUCUGUGACAACUACAGUUCUCUCCUGGCCCUAGGAACAUCCAUAUUCUCAAGGGUAUGGCAAUAACUCUUUGAUGCUAGCUCUGGGGUCUGUAUUAUCUUUGAUCAUGUUCCUGAACCCUACAUGCACCUUUGUAAACUCUCUAAAUUCUCUAAAAUUACCCUCUGUCUCUCUGCAAAGCCUUUUCUGAUACUUUUUCCACAUUAGUUCUUUUUAAUUUUAUAACUCCUGUUUAAUUUACAUGGUAUUUUUUGCAUAUGUCUUACAAGUGGUCUAAGACUGACUCAGUUGCUCCAUGGGAAACUCUUUGAAGGUGAAGACCUUCUCUCUAUGACUUCAUACCCACCAGCAGCUUGAGGAAAGUGAUUCAUAUCAAUUGACACUCAUGUCUGUUAUCUCUUUGGGCCUCCUGGUUGAGCUGCCAUAGUGCUAUACUUCUCCCUUAAAAAUUGUUUGGAAAAUUAUGUAGUAAUUUGCACCAAAAUUUAAGGGUGUUUGUAUGACGCUAGAACAAGUGGUUUGUUGAGUAUAACUUUUUAAAAAAAUCAGUGAAAAAAUAAGAACUGGUGAUUUGGUGCAGAGGGAUAGCUCAGCUCACAUAUUCAUCAGAGCAGGCCAAUAUCAUUAGGCUGUAGGCUGAAGAAAUUAUAUCCCAAUAUUUUAAAAAUAGCUGUCUAUGGAUCUAAUGAUUCUUAAUUGUUUUGCUCUAGAGUAGGACACUUUUUAUGAGCAUUAAAUAAACAAGAUGUAUGGUUUGCCUUUCCUGUGAAGUUGAUGACUCAAUUUAAAUGUGCAGAUGGAUCUAAAGACCAGGAAACAGCUUAACAACACAGCUGACUGCACUUGGGCAUAUUAGAAUUUACCAGUGGCUGGCGAGAGAAACACAGGUGUCCAGAAGAUGCUGUACCUUAUUAAAAUGCGCGUGCAUUUGGUCAGGUCAGAACCUUAAAAUGCAAAUUCUUCAUGUAAAUGUCUACAUGCAUUAGAAAUGGAAAUUUUGGCUCCAAAAUUGCAAAAUUGGCUCCAUUUGCAGUUUCAGAAAGCAUGGAAUUAGAUAGCUGAAGUUCAUACUGUUAAGUAUAGGAGUCAUAAUAAUGACAUUUUUAUUAAGCCCUUAUGUGUUAGGCAUCGUGCUGAGAAUUUUAUAUCAUUUUAUUUAAUCUUUAUAAAAUUGUAGACAAAGUAUUAUUAUUCCUCCAGUUUACAGAUAGAAAAACUGAGGCAUGAUGUAGAACUAACCUCAAUGUAUUCACCCAGGUAAAGCAUUUGGGUUUGUAAAUACAUGGAGAUUAUAAUAAAAUAGCAAACAGAGGCUUCCACAAGUCAAAUUACACUUCUCAGUAUCCCUAGAGCAAAACUCACAUAAUUAAUAAAAAAGAUUCUCUUACUUGCAUACUGAGCCACUUUCCCUUUCAACUUGACUAACGAUGACAACAAACUUUGUUUAUAAGAAAAAAUAUAAUAUAUGUAAUAAAAAUAUUUAUAACAGAAGAAAAAUGCAGCAAAGACAUGAAAAGAGACAGGUGGACACUGAUAAAUGAACAAAAAAUGUAAGUACAAAAAAUAUAAGUAGAUUUAGAAAUAACACAAAAAAAUUACUGUGCAACUACUGAGUAGUCAGCCCAAAGCAUU